rnacentral:rRNA from 1 species
CCACCUGACCCCAUGCCGAACUCAGAAGUGAAACGCCGUAGCGCCGAUGGUAGUGUGGGGUCUCCCCAUGCGAGAGUAGGGAACUGCCAGGUA